UCCGAGUUGACCCCGGCAGUCUCCUGCGAGUCCCCAACAUGACUUGCUGGCAACACAGGAUAAGGGUUGCGCUCGUUGCGGGACUUAACCCAACAUCUCACGACACGAGCUGACGACAACCAUGCACCACCUGUCUCCAAUGCUCCGAAGAGGGGCACUAUCUCUAAUGCUUUCAUUGGGAUGUCAAGACCUGGUAAGGUUCUUCGCGUUGCUUCGAAUUAAACCACAUACUCCACUGCUUGUGCGGGUCCCCGUCAAUUCCUUUGAGUUUCAGUCUUGCGACCGUACUCCCCAGGCGGAAUGCUUAAUGUGUUAACUUCGGCACCAAGGGUAUUGAAACCCCUAACACCUAGCAUUCAUCGUUUACGGCGUGGACUAC
rnacentral:misc_RNA from 1 species